rnacentral:rRNA from 1 species
ACGCACGCUGGCGGCAUGCCUCACACCUGCCAGUCGCACGCGACCUUCGGGUCUAGUGGCGCACGGGUGCGUCACGCGUGGGAACCUGCCCUUAGGUUCGGAAUAACUCCCCGAAAGGGGUGCUAAUACCGGAUAAUGUCUUCGGACCAAAGAUUUAUCGCCUUUGGAUGGGCCCGCGUUGGAUUAGCUAGUUGGUAGGGUAAAAGCCUACCAAGGCGACGAUCCAUAGCUGGUCUGAGAGGAUGAUCAGCCACACUGGGACUGAGACACGGCCCAGACUCCUACGGGAGGCAGCAGUGGGGAAUAUUGGACAAUGGGCGAAAGCCUGAUCCAGCAAUGCCGCGUGAGUGAUGAAGGCCUUAGGGUUGUAAAGCUCUUUUACCCGGGAUGAUAAUGACAGUACCGGGAGAAUAAGCUCCGGCUAACUCCGUG